rnacentral:ncRNA from 2 species
UUUAAUAGUAUAGCAUGUGGUGCCCUAAAGGGUUAAAAGGGAAAGUGGUUAGAAUCCACUACAGCCCCCGCUACUGUAAAUGGGAAUGAAAUCCAAUAAAGCCAUUGGGAAACCGAGAAGGCUGGAGAGUAAGAUGAUCCAUAAGUCAGGAAACCUGCCAUAUGUAUAUUAACUUU